CCCCCGGGGAUGUCGUCUUUUACCAAAUAAAAAGUUUCCUCUGCGGGAGGGUCCGGUUAAGCGCUGGCAAACAUUAACCUGAGCGAGCAGCAAGAUGCGGGGAUGGAAGGGGGGGGAUGGGGGGGAGGAACGGCAACCUUGGCUCCAAUGAGAGCGUCCCACACCUACUUGGCGGGGGGGAGGAGGGGGCAUCCCAACCGGAACGAUUUUCCCGGCAGGAUCACGGGCCCCAACGGCGACUCCCGGUGUGGAAGAAGGAGCCCCUCUUUCCCACCGGGGGGGAGGGAAUUGAGGCCCCAGCGGCCGUUGGCCAGCUGCACCCCAACGGGCUCGGGGAGGGGGGAGGAAGAGUCACAAAAUGCCGGCCUCUGGCUCCAAAAUUAGCAAGCAUUCGACUUACCAGGGUGGAGGCUCUUCCACCUUAGCAACCCCAGCGUGGUCCCGGCCCCCCCACGUGUCUCUUCUUACUCUCCCCCCCACCCCCGAGGGCCGGGGGGGUAAACAGGUCACUCCACGUCCGGACACGGCAUUUCCGACUCUCGUCCGCCCCCCGCUUUCCUUUUCUUUUUUUUUUUCCACCUCCCCCACCGUGUCGGGCUGGCUCCGGGGACGACAGGCUCCCGAUCCUGCCUCCGGUCCCCGCCGUCGGCCACUUGGAGAGAGGAGGAGGAGGAGGAAGCGGAGCAGGGAGAGCCGCGCCUUCGCUCCUCCCGGACCCCGGAGGCCCGAGCGAGGCGGGGUCGAGGACGGGCGUCCCGUCCGUGGCGACGCGGCCCCGGAGGCCGGAGGGGGCGGGUAAUGGAGGCGCGGGGAGGGGACGGCGAGGCCCGGAGGGAGCGGGGGGCCAAGCGGGAAGUGUCUCCCCCGAGCCCGGGCCCGCCCCCGCCCCCGGGACACGGGGGAGCGGAAACCCGAGGGACACUCACUUUCUCCGCGCUCUCCGGCACGUCGUCGGCGCCUCUCGAGCGGCGGCGGCAGCGGAGGAGGCUGAAGAAGGAGGCGGCGGCGGCUGUGGCGGCGGCUGCGUCCGGCUCCGCUUACCUCCCCGCCGCCAUCUUGGCGCCCCUCCCCCCGCCAGGCGGAGGAGGGGGGGGGAGGAGCAGGCGGCGCGCGCACCCGGCACGCGCGCCGCGUCACGUGACCUCCCCCUCUCUCUCCUCCUCCCCCGCCCCUCCCCAAGAGGGGAGGGCCGACCCCCACCGCCAUUCCCCCCCCCCACCUUCUCCUCAGGCCUGAAACCGGCAGGAGGAUGGGAGCGAGCUCCGGAAAAAAGACGAGUCCAUCACCUGAGGGUCCGGCGGAGGGUGGUUCAACUUCAAAUGAUUGAAAGGCGUUUGAAGAGGAUUCUUGAUAUGCUGCAAGCCCCUGGAACACAUGUGAAGUCACAGGCAUCUCCAUGUCAUUCUCAUGGAUCCUCUGUGUCCACCCUAUUAGUAAGUGAAACGGACAUUGCAAGUGUUUGA
rnacentral:lncRNA from 1 species